UCGUCCCGCACCAUUCAUUUUGUGAUAGUCAAUAUAGUCGGUUGGGGUAUCGCCAAGCGGUAAGGCUACCGGGUUU
rnacentral:tRNA from 1 species